rnacentral:rRNA from 1 species
CCCGGAGGCAGGAAAGGCUUCGGCCGGACAGGGAUGAGCAUGCGGCGCAUUAGGCAGUAGGCGGGGUAACGGCCCACCUAACCGACGAUGCGUAGGGGUUCUGAGAGGAAGGUCCCCCACACUGGUACUGAGACACGGACCAGACUCCUACGGGAGGCAGCAGUGAGGAAUAUUGGUCAAUGGUCGGGAGACUGAACCAGCCAAGCCGCGUGAGGGAUGAAGGUACAGAGUAUCGUAAACCUCUUUUGUCAGGGAACAAAGGCGGGGACGUGUCCCCGGAUGAGUGUACCUGAAGAAAAAGCAUCGGCUAACUCCGUGCCAGCAGCCGCGGUAAUACGGAGGAUGCGAGCGUUAUCCGGAUUUAUUGGGUUUAAAGGGUGCGCAGGCGGUCUGUUAAGUCAGCGGUCAAAGCCCGGGGCUCAACCCCGGCCCGCCGUUGAAACUGGCAGUCUCGAGUUGGAGAGAAGUAUGCGGAAUGCGCGGUGUAGCGGUGAAAUGCAUAGAUAUCGCGCAGAACUCCGAUUGCGAAGGCAGCAUGCCGGCUCCACACUGACGCUGAGGCACGAAAGCGUGGGUAUCGAACAGGGGUAGAUACCCUGGUAGUCCACGCAGUAAACGAC